rnacentral:rRNA from 1 species
AAUCUUGGACAAUGGGCGCAAGCCUGAUCCAGCCAUGCCGCGUGAGUGAUGACGGCCUUAGGGUUGUAAAGCUCUUUCGCCUGUGACGAUGAUGACGGUAACAGGAGAAGAAGCCCCGGCUAACUUCGUGCCAGCAGCCGCGGUAAUACGAAGGGGGCUAGCGUUGUUCGGAAUUACUGGGCGUAAAGCGCACGUAGGCGGCGCAGCAAGUUGGGGGUGAAAUCCCGAGGCUCAACCUCGGAAUUGCCUUCAAAACUGCUGUGCUCGAGUUCGGAAGAGGUGAGUGGAAUUCCCAGUGUAGAGGUGAAAUUCGUAGAGAUUGGGAAGAACACCAGUGGCGAAGGCGGCUCACUGGUCCGCAACUGACGCUGAGGUGCGAAAGCGUGGGGAGCAAAC